AGAACGAACGCUGGCGGCGCGUUUAAGCAUGCAAGUCGAGCGGCAAGGGCCUUCGGGCCCCUAGAGCGGCGGACGGGUGAGUAACACGUGGACAAUCUGCCCCCCGGCCCGGGAUAGCCCAGGGAAACCUGGAUUAAUACCGGAUGAGACGGGACCCGCGAUGGCGGGACCCGGGAAAGGCGCUGCGGCGCCGCCGGGGGAUGAGUCUGCGUCCCAUUAGCUAGACGCGGGGUAACGGCCCACCGUGGCGACGAUGGGUAGCCGGCCUGAGAGGGUGGACGGCCACAUUGGAACUGAGACACGGUCCAGACUCCUACGGGAGGCAGCAGCUAAGAAUCUUCCGCAAUGGGCGAAAGCCUGACGGAGCCGACGCCGCGUGAACGAAGAAGGCCGUGAGGUUGUAAAGUUCUUUUCGGGAGGGGGAACAACCGUGGCAGGGAAUGGCCGCGGGAUGACGUGAAUCCCGGAAUAAGCCCCGGCUAACUACGUGCCAGCCGCAGC
rnacentral:rRNA from 1 species